rfam:Schistosoma haematobium scaffold1557_1, whole genome shotgun sequence.
AUCUAGCUGAAGAGUCCCAAAUAGAACAGAAUGCACGUCCUGGAC